AUUGAACGCUGGCGGCAGGCCUAACACAUGCAAGUCGAGCGGAUGAAGGGAGCUUGCUCCUGGAUUCAGCGGCGGACGGGUGAGUAAUGCCUAGGAAUCUGCCUGGUAGUGGGGGAUAACGUCCGGAAACGGGCGCUAAUACCGCAUACGUCCUGAGGGAGAAAGUGGGGGAUCUUCGGACCUCACGCUAUCAGAUGAGCCUAGGUCGGAUUAGCUAGUUGGUGGGGUAAAGGCCUACCAAGGCGACGAUCCGUAACUGGUCUGAGAGGAUGAUCAGUCACACUGGAACUGAGACACGGUCCAGACUCCUACGGGAGGCAGCAGUUGGGAAUAUUGGGCAAUGGGCGAAAGCCUGAUCCAGCCAAGCCGCGUGGGUGAAGAAGGUCUUCGGAUUGUAAAACACUUUAAGUUGGGAGGAAGGGCAGUAAGUUAAUACCUUGCUGUUUUGACGUUACCAACAGAAUAAGCACCGGCUAACUUCGUG
rnacentral:rRNA from 1 species